CCGUACAUUUUUAGCAUCAUUACUUCAGUCACACGAUCCUUCAGAAAUCAUGUUGAUAUUCUGAUUUACUGCUCAUAAAAACAUUUAUUAUUAUGAUGAUGUUGAAAACAUCUGAGUAGGAUUUUUUCACGUUUCUUUGAUGAAUAGAAAAUUAAGAAAAACUGCAUAUCUGAAAUAGAGAUUGAAUGAUAUGAAUAUUAAUUUCUAUCAUUUCUUUUCCGAAAAAUCAAAAUAUGACUCUAAGCUUUUGAAUGGUAUAGUGUAUUGUUACAAAAGCCUUUUAUUUCACAUACAGUAAAUGCUGAUCUUUGUAUCUUUCUAUUCAUCAAAGAAUCAUGAAAAAAAUGUAGUCAACUGUUUUAAAUAUUAAUAAUAAUUUAAUUCCUUGAGCAGAAUAUCAUCAUAUUAGAAUGAUUUCUGAAGAUCAUGGGUUUUAAAUUGUAAAAAUAUUUCACAACAUUACUACUUUUGCUGUACUUUGGAUCAAAUAAAUGCAGUCUUGGUGAGCAGAAGAGACUUCUUUAAAAAAUAUUAAAAAUCUUACUGUUCAAAAACUGUUGACUGGUAUAUAGAUUACAGAAAUGUUAUACUGUAAUGUUAUAUAUAUACAUUUCUGUCCCCCUCACUUCUGUAAUGAUGUCUACGCCCCUGGUUCAUGUAGAACGGAGGAAAACAGCCCUAAACAAGCACAGCACUUCUUCUCUUUACAGGUUUUAGAUACAGAGACAGUGUAACAGCAUGGCUGCUGCGACUGAAAAAGACACAGUAUGGAUCGGGUUCAUGGACAUCGUUCCGGUCAUCGGGACGGUAAAAGAGGCAGUGGAGCUGGUGCUGGCUCUGUAUGAAGGGAAUAAAGAGGUGAUAAAGGAGAAAGAGAAGGCCAUUGAAAGCAUUGUGAAAGAGUCAUCAAAAAUACAUGAGAAGGAAAACUAUGUGAAAAAGUUGACUCUAGCUGAUAAACCAGUAGCAGCAGCAGCUGCAGAUGAAUUUUCUGGACUCAGAAAUGUGAGAGAGGUCAGAAAGGAAAUGAUUAUUGAGUAUAUGGCCAAAGGUUCCAAAAAGGGAACAAAACCCCCAACUUCAGCUGAGCAGAAAGAGAGACAGAAAAAAGUGGAGGCUAUUCAGAAAGACAUGUUAGAAAAGAUCCGUAUCAUCAAUCCAAACUUCAAUGAGGAGCUGAAGGAUGAACUGCGAAGGCCAAAAAGAGGGGAACAUGUCUUCAACAAUAAUAUUCUUAAAUUUCAUUCCAAGGUGCUGACUGAGUUUAUACAAAGCCAACAUAUUGAUAAUCUACAAGGAUAUGAUCAGCAGGCAAUGAAUGAAUUAGGCAGACACACACUUCCCCAAAACACAGCAACAGAUAUUCAGACAAACAUGGUGGUUCACUUUCGUGAUGAUGAAUUCUAUGUGAAUGCGAAUGCAGUGUUUUAUGGUGAAUAUUGCAGAGCACUGCGAGAAGCUAUGCUAGUUGUACUGCACCACAUAAACCCAGGUGAUGUGGCAGAUGAGGAGAGACAACGGGUGAAUGAUGUCAUAGAUAAUAUGAAUAACCUUGCAAUCUAUGUGGACCAACUGGCAAAGGAAAAGUGGAUUGGCAAUAAUGCGACUAGACGGGCCCGGUUUAAACAGGUAAGACGGGAAGUUGUGACCAUGUACAAACAAAAACGUGGGGAUGAGUGGUGCAUUAGCAUUCUGGAUGUAGUUGCACCUUUGUUUAAAUGUGGAUAGUGAGUUUAUUUCUCCUGUUCAAGGUUGCCAGGUUUCCUUUCAAAAUUUCCAGCUCAAUUAGCUCAAAAAGUUUGGACACUGGAAGAAACAGACAUCAGUUUUUUUCUUUCCAACAAAAGUUCACAGUGUAUGUACAUUUGUAUAUCUGCAAUAUUUCCAACACACUUAGUGACAGAGUUUUGUCAUCCAUUCCGUUAUGACUGUUAACCUCUCCAUAAUCCUGUUUUUCCUCUCCCAGCAUGUGCAGGAAUGGCUUCGUACAUUUUCCAUACAUUACACUCUCCCUUUGGUUGCCAUAGCCAGUGGUUUUCUGGGAAAUGUAUUAGCUUUACUUUUGGCCUAAUGGUUAGAGAGUCGGACUCGUAACCCAAAGGUUGCAUCACUUUCACUUUAAAUUUAACUCUGAUAAUUUGCUUUAAAAAAGGAUCUUGGCUUUUUUUUUUUUUUUUUUUUUUUUUUUUUUUUUUUUAAAAAAACACCACCCAUGGACUUGCUUUUUCUACCACAGCCUUGUUCCAAAACUGAAAACUCUGACUUUGGCAACCCUGCUCCUCAAAAUUAUUAUUUUUUUUGUUAAAAAAGUGAAUUUCCAACAUAAAGAUUAAUGCAUGCAGCUAAAUGUCUGUAACUAAAAUUUAAAGCUGAGCCUGAUAACAAGUUGAAGUUUAGUUCUUAUUAAAAUGACUGUGUGUAAAUGUGUAGCAGAACAGGGAUGUUGGAGCUUUGAGAAAAACAUGGAUAUGUGGGUAUGGUACGAGUUUAUAUUAAAGAUGUAUACAUUAUUAUUUGACUUAAUAGCACAGCUUGUAGCUUAUUACACAGACAUCCUCGCUGUUAUUGUAAACUUUCUUCAGUUUUCAGAUGAUUCAUGCUGAUGAUUUAAUUAUGAUAUUUUACCAUUUACUCUAAUUAUCUGAUUACGGUUACUAACUGUUUUGAUGCAAAAUUCCUGGAAAGCAUGCUGAGCUGCAUGUACAUGUAUGGAACAAGCUCCAUGGAAAUAUGUUCAAAAUAAAAUAAAGUCAUUACUAACA
ensembl:lncRNA